AAUCAUUCCCUACUCCCUACAAGCAGAGACGAGUAAGUAGAGAGAUGACCAACGCUUAUGGGCGAAAUUUAACCAAGAAUUGGACUGCGACGUGUAUCUAUGCGAAUCUACGUUUAUUUCCUUUCUGGUAUAAAUUUGCUUGAUAUACCGAAAAGACGGUUCAUGUUAGGAGCAAACGCCCCUUCGAAUAUUCGAAUAACGCAUGAAUGCGCAAAUGAGAUGUGUAAAUAGAAACGUUUGGUAAUGCAAAGUGUUCUGCGUAAAGCAGGUAAUGAUAAAAGCGUAAAAGUAUAAGGCGUGAUGAGGAGACGAGAUUGUAGACGUUAGACUCCUGGAAGUCGAUACAAGUAAGAAAGGAUUGAAAAGAGUAUAAAAUGUUAAUAAGUAAUACGUAAGGCAAUAUUUUGGAUUUUGUGGAUGGUAGAAGAACAGAUUUGUUUAGUAUUUAGGAGACUAAAGAAUAAAUAAAGAAAAAAUAAAUUUGGAAGAU